GGGCCGUGGGAGCGGGAGCCCGGAGAUGGGUACUGAGACAAGGGCCCAGGCCNUACGGNGCGCAGCAGUUGCGAAAACUUGUCAAUGCACGAAAGUGUGAACGGGCUACCCCGAGUGCCGUCCGCUGAGGAUGGCUUUUCUCUGCUGUAAGAAGGCGGAGGAAUAAGGAGAGGGCAAGUCUGGUGUCAGCCGCCGCGGUAAUACCAGCUCUCCGAGUGGUAGGGAUGAUUAUUGGGCCUAAAGCGUCCGUAGCCGGCCUUCCAAGUCUUUCGUUAAAUCCAGCGAUUCAAUCGUUGGACUGCGGGAGAUACUGUUAGGCUAGGGGGCGGGAGAAGCCGACGGUAUUUCUGGGGUAGGGGUAAAAUCCUAUAAUCCCAGGAAGACCACCAGUGGCGUAGGCGGUCGGCUAGCACGCGCUCGACGGUGAGGGACGAAAGCUGAGGGAGCAAACCGGAUUAGAUACCCGGGUAGUCCCAGCUGUAAACGAUGCGGGCUAGGUGUUGAAGCGGCUACGAGCCGCUUCAGUGCCGCAGGGAAGCCAUUAAGCCCGCCGCCUGGGGAGUACGGCCGCAAGGCUGAAACUUAAAGGAAUUGGCGGGGGA
rnacentral:rRNA from 1 species